UACGUAGGGUGCAAGCGUUAUCGGAAUUACUGGGCGUAAAGCGUGCGCAGGCGGUUAUGUAAGACAGUUGUGAAAUCCCCGGGCUCAACCUGGGAAUUGCAUCUGUGACUGCAUAGCUAGAGUACGGUAGAGGGGGAUGGAAUUCCGCGUGUAGCAGUGAAAUGCGUAGAUAUGCGGAGGAACACCGAUGGCGAAGGCAAUCCCCUGGACCUGUACUGACGCUCAUGCACGGAAGCGUGGGGAGCAAACAGG
rnacentral:rRNA from 1 species